rnacentral:rRNA from 1 species
GACAGAGGGUGCAACCGUUGCUCGGAAUUACUGGGCGUAAAGCGCGUGUAGGCGGACCAGCAAGUCAGGCGUGAAAUCCCUAGGCUCAACCUAGGAACUGCACCUGAAACUUCUGGUCUGGAGUAGUGGAGAGGAAAGCAGAAUUCCUGGUGUAGAGGUGAAAUUCGUAGAUAUCAGGAGGAACACCGGUGGCGAAGGCGGCUUUCUGGACACUUACUGACGCUGAGACGCGAAAGCGUGGGGAGCAAACAGG